AGGCUCCAAUAGCGUAUAUUUAAGUUGUUGCAGUUAAAAAGCUCGUAGUUGGACCUUGGGUUGGGUCGGCCGGUCCGCCUCGCGGUGUGCACCGGCCGGCUCGUCCCUUCUGCCGGCGAUGCGCUCCUGGCCUUAACUGGCCGGGUCGUGCCACCGGCGCUGUUACUUUGAAGAAAUUAGAGUGCUCAAAGCAAGCCUACUGUUACGGUCCGCCCAAUUCGCUAGCCCAAUUGCCCAUAAUUUCGGGCUAGAGAGCCAACACAAGGCCAAGAGUGCUAGCUUGGCCCAAUUCCGGAACAUUCUAGGCAACUCUAGCACAUGAGCUUGUAAAUACUCUAGAAUUCUCCAUAGAAUUCCAGCACAUGUAAAUAGCUAGGAAAUGGUAGAAUUCUCUAGAAUCUCUAGAACUUGGCAAGCCUCCCCUAUAAAUAUGGGAUGGCAUUAGGCAUUUGUAUCCAACAAACACAACAACAAGCUUUGUAAGCAACUCAAGCAUUGUAAUCUCUCUUUGUGCAAUACAAGUUUUCUCAUUCGGCUCCAUUGCUCUCUUCUCUAGUUCGAGAAGCUAUAGGCUUACUUAGCAACAUUCGGCAAAGUUGUCUAAGUGCCGCACGGGUUAGCUGCGCAAAAUACUCAUCCCGUGACAAUAAGCUAGAUAUAUGUACAACACAUAAAACUAAUUCUCGUGCAACAAUGAAAACAAAUUUUAUAGCCGAAACCACAACUAACAAAUAGUAUCAAGUGGGAUUAUCUACUGAGAUAACAGGUUCCUUCCUAAUAAAGUACAGUAUCUUAUUUUAGACUGCAAGAGAAUAUAUUGAUAUCUCAUUGUUAUCAAUAUAUUUGAUAAUUAGGAAUAUCAACAAUUACUUCAUUGUAAGCCAUUAUCAUUUUCUACACCCUUUAUCUGCGGAAGUGCAAUUAGCCACACUUUUUAAGUUAUUUCAAAAUCAAAAUAUUCAAGAGAACUGGAAACAUAAAAUCACCAACCUCAAGCUUACAUCAAAUCAAGAGCUUAUCUGAAGUUUAUAACUAUGCUAAAAAUACAAAAUCCCAGCAUCCAAAGUUUUGUCCAAAUACAACAAUCAGAGAGAUUGAAAAUGAUUAGAUAAUGUGAGGUUCAGAAAUAUGAUACUAAACUUCAGAUAUAACACAGCAUUAUAUUCCAUCAACACUAAAUAUCAAAUUCAUACCUGCUCUUUCAUACUCUCCCAAUGGUUUCAAACAUUUCAGCAGCUUCCCUGAGAAUAGCAUUAGCCUCUUGAGGGUUUGAACUGCCGGACUUGAAGAAGGGACCUUUUCUUCCAAUAGUCAAACAUAGGUUUUGAUAACUCCACCAUAUGUUCCCAAAUCCACAGCCUUUGCCUUGUGCGAGUGAUGGCCACAUGCAGUUGCUUCAGUUCAGAGGAAAAGACAUUGUGUUUAGCUUCAUUGAAGCUUGGAGAGCACAUAGAUGCUAUCGAGUAUAGCAAAUUACAUUGCUUCAUAUAUUCAUACACCACUCUUCAUUGAUUUUUAAGAGGUGAAGAGCCCAAAAAGUUGUACACCAGCACAUCCUAUAGAAGGAGAUAGCGUAGUCAAUGGAAAAAAUCAGGACUCAUAAUAACUACCGAUGAAGACGAGGCAUGAGAACUGGGAUACAUGAAUUAAAAACAUUUUAGACAAUCAAAUCCAAGUAAGACUCGUGCUUUCAAAGGCUGUUGCAAUCAAGGUUGGUGUAAACUUUGUCAGUUGCUCAUUAUCAUCGUAUUGGACAAUAAAAUAUCUCUUACUGUUACAUUUUACGCUCUUAGAAUUGGUAAUCUUCUUGGUUUUACUUGUGUAAUUAUGUACUUGUUUCCAAUCAAUGAGUGUGUGCUAGUUGUUAAAACGGUAAAACCUCUUAAACUGCUUACAAAAGCCGGAGGUUUGAAUCCCGCUUACAUAGGUGGGGAGAGGCUUUGGUUUCCAUUAGUGUUAUAGUCAAAUAAAUAACAAGAGCCAACUAAAAGUGUUCAGCUUUCAUGUAAAAGGAUAAACCUCUGGAACUCAAAUAAAUUUGAAAUGGAACUAUAGCUUUGUUAAGUUGGAACUGCAAAUACUUUGCAGUAUCUUGUUACUUCAAACAUGCCAUCAAAGCAUAACAUAAUAAGAGCUUCAAUAUGUUUUCAUUCUCACCUAUAAGAAGAAACUGACUACUGACAUACAACACAUCCCCUGAACUAGUUACCAGAAGUUAUAAUUUUAUUAGUUAAUGGAAUUUGAAUUUUAUUUAAUACAUUAAUUUUAAUUCAAAUGAUUAAACAAUUCUUGGUGAACUUACGUAAUUAAUAAGAAAAAAUAUCAUAUGAUAUAUAAAAAAUAACAUUAAAAAGUAUAUACAUAUACUUAUCUAUGUAUGUCAAAAAACAUGUGUUAGAUAUAUUUUUAUUUUUCAUACUUUGUUAAGGUACACAUUAUAAAAACUUUAAAGUAAUCAAAUAAUUUAUUUAUAACUUGUCAUGUUUAACAAAUAAAUAUAAAUAUUAUUAAUAUUUAUGAGGUUAUAUAUGUCAAGAUAUCAUACUUCAGACGUUUUCUUUAAAAAAAAAAUAACCUAACAUUAUAUUUAGAUAUUGAAAAAAUAAAAAUAAACAUGUCAUUUAAAUAUAUACAUUCAAAUCUCUUUAGACUUCAGCCAAAUUCAGAUCCAUUCAGGUUUCAGAUAAAAAAACCAAACACUACCAAAAUAUACAUAUGUUGUGGUUAGUUUGUGUUACAAAAACUUAAUCUAGAAAAUUAAUCUUAGAUUGUUGUACCUGCUUUUGAAGAUUUAGCAAAGUUAAAAUUUCCUUAGAUCAAGAUGCUCUGCACAAACAGCUUUGAUUGGAACUAUUGGUUUCAUAUUGACCUGUAAAAGAUGAAACAUGAGCGUAUACUCAACUAUGCAGAAUUUUCACAAGAUACUGUCCAUGGAUUGAAGCAUAUUGAGCAAAUUUGAAAUCACUAACUAUAAGGAAUAUUACCAAAGGCCAAUUAUCCCAACGAGGACGUAGCUAUAUUCACAAUCAAAAUCACAAAAAAUCUACUAUCAAGUUCAACAUCUGCUUCAUGAGAAUUUAAUACGAUAGUUACAUCCUGAACUAAAAUGUCUACAUUCUAGUAAAGCACAGGCAUAGUAUGGUCCAUCUAACAAAAUUCCUAUAUUCCCAAAGGAUGGUUCAUUGGUCGGACUCUCGUAGUAGAAGCAAGAGGUCAAGGGUUCAAAUCCAAUGGGAUGUGUUUAACUUAGGAGUGCGGUGGGGUGCAAUGUAACUAUUUAGGAAAAAAAAAAAAAAAACCAUCUCUCAUCUAGACAAGCAUACUAUCAAAAGGCAUGUGCUUUAAAUCAGAAUCUCGAACUUAUCUCAAUAUAAACUAUCAUUGCCCAAAGAUAGUAGGAGAAAAAUAGUUAAGAGGCUUAAGGGCUAGAGCUUCUUCAUACAUCAUACUUUCCGGAGCAGAAUACUAGGAAGUAGAACAAUAACACUAAAUAUCUUACUUUGCUAAUUAUACAAAUAACAUCACUGAAUGAUAAAUAAAAAAAACGAGUAUCUGUACGGCAUUCACACUUCAGGAAGCAGGAGCAAACCCCAAGAUCAUGUAAGAUUUGCUCAACCCGCUUGACGGUUCGAAGUCCAGCAGAUGAGCUUGCAGCUUGCACCAUUUGCUCAAGUGCACAUGUCCUCGAAUAAACACGAAGCUGCAAAUACUUUCAAUCAGCAGAUAAGUCAUUAAAGGCCUGGGAUAGAGGAGGUAAAACUUCACAAACGAAAAAAAAAAAAAAAAACUGUUCCAAACAGCCACUGAAAAUUGGUUAUCUCCUCUACUCAAACCUUUGAUGCGAAAAUGAUAGGACCACAAGAUAACAAAAUUACCUCCAUUAACCAUGUUUUUACUUCCAUUGACUGCUGGAACCCGCGGGUGGUGGGGGGUGGAGAGAGAACAUAAAUAGGAAUCAAUCGUUCAACAUACCGUUCGCAGAGAAGCAAUAUUAGAGUCACUAUCAGCAAUUACUGAAGCAUAUUUUCAAGUUCGUUACAUUUAGGGUGGCCAAAAAAGCUUGAGCCGGCCUGCUACAGUCCUGCGGCUUCGGCUUUGGCUCGGCUCUCACACAGGCUAAAGAAAAAAAAUUUGGGACAAGUUUAAUCCCAUUAUUUUUUUAGAAAAAUAAAUUUAUAUAUUAGAAUAAUAUAAUUAAAAUUGAAAAAAUAAUAUAAAAUAAAAAAUUUAAAUUGUUAAUUUAUAAAUUAAGGAUGAUUCAGAAAAGCUAAAAUUAUAAUACUAAAUUCUUUCUUAUACGUUAAUUAAUUAAGAGAGUGCUUGAAUUAGAGAAUUUAGUAUUAAUAAAAUUAAAUUUUUAAGUUUUUAUUUAUUAUUUUACUUUGAAAUAUUUAUUUUCUUUAAUUUAUUUAUGAUUAUAACAACUUGUUAAUUAUCAACUCAUUUCAAAUUUAUAAUAAUAUAAAUAAAUAAAUAAAAACUCAAGCGUUUAUCUUAAAGUGGGCUUCAACCUGAGCUUAAAAAAGCCUGCCUAUGCCCGCUUUUUGUUAUACCUACUUGAUUUUAUUUAAUUGAGAUUUUCCCACUUUUAUGUAAUUUUACAUGUUUUGUAAAGAAAAAGAUAUAUCUAAAUAAUUUAUUAAACAAAAAAUAAAAAAUCAAAAUCAAUUUAAACUUAUUUAUAUUUUGAUCAUUAUAUAAUAAAACAACACUUUCGUAAUUGUUGCGGAAGCGCGAGGUUGAGCAAUUAUCAAUAUUACAGUGACUAUAACUUCUAGAGCAAUAUAAAUGUGGUGUAAACAAAUGUAAAGAAAAAAACACAAUAAAUUUUACGUGGUUCAGCGUAAAGCCUACGUCCACGGGGAAAGACUGUAAGAUAAUUUUACUAAUAAUGAAACUUUACAAAAGUGGAAAAACUCUCAAAUACCCAAUACCCAAUACACCCAAAUUCCCUUAACACCAAAGGAAUUUCUCUACCAAAACUCAUUUGGAAAUCUCACAAAAUUUGGAUGCUUUACAAAUGCAUUCUACUCCUCUAUUUAUAGGCAAAGCUUACAAUAUGAAUGCAUGAAAAAAACUUUGGCCAUUUUCAAUUUUAAUGGCUUUGUUGUGACUUUUGGUGAAGAGAUCAUGCUAACAGAUGCAAUUGGAUCAUGCUAGCUCAACAUUGGUGUGCUUGAACUUUGCAUGCUAGCUGGCUCAUGCAAGCAUGUGAUAAGUAAUUUUCAAUUCAGAAAGAAAAGUCAGAGAAACAGAGAAGAAAUAUGAAUUGAUUGGAAGGGAAAAGACAAUUUUCAUUCUCCAAAAAAAAAAAAAUCUCCCAGUACAAGUUCAAUAAGGUCUCUUAAAUAGACUUGUACGCAUACCAAGAAAUUGAAAACUACAAAUGAGGAAAAAUCGCUUGAAAAUAGGAGCAUGAACAAUUAAAAUGGAAACGUGCACAAUCGCCACGACAUACAUGCACCCACCACUAUAUUUUAUUCUAACUAAGACAAUAACCAUCAAAAGAAACCUGAGCCUCAUGCAUCUUGAGCACAUAUCAUUCCCCACCCCUCGGAAUCACCUUGUCCACAAGGUCAAAGUGCCCUAUUCACUUACCCAGUAUAGGGUGGUGUGAAUGGUGGAGGAUCUUCAAUCAUGAACAGCUGUGGCGUUUGGCAGUGAUAGCCAAGAACAAAUUUCUCGUCACAAUAAUAACAUAGCCCUUUUUCACGUCGAGCCCAUGCUUCUUGGUUAGUCAACCGCUGGAUAGGAGUGGUGGCAUUGGCUGUUUGGUUUACCUUAGGAGGGGGGGCCCAAGAUCCCAGCAGAACUAUUUAGAAUUGGUUGUUGCAUCACGAAAACAGGUGAUGGUUGAGAAAAGUGUUCAAUGCAGCAGUGGAGAGAAUUCCGCUCCUCAAUUAGUCUUGCCACACCAAUGGCGUUAGCCAAGGUACGAGGCUGUUUAAUCUUGACAUCGAGUCGGAUUUCAUCAUGAAGACCUGCAAUGAAACAUCCAAUUAAAAAAGUUUCAGGUAAGCCAUUGAUUUGAUGAGAAAGCUUUUCAAAAACAUCCUGAUACUCAGUCACCGAGGAAGUUUGUUUUAGGCGUGUUAAAACUUCUGAAGGAUCCUCCUAAUCCGUUGGACCAAAAUGGAGCAAUAUAGCUUUAGUAUAUUCAGUCCAAGUCUGUGGUCCUUUGAACUUGGCUAGCCAGCGAUGCCAUUGGAGUGUUAUUCCUUCGAGAUGGAAAGAGGCCAAUUGGACUUGCUGUUCUGAAGCAAUGUUUUGGAAAUCAAAGUGUUGUUCGGCUUUGUAAAUCCAUCUAGCAGGGUCAGCACCACCAAACCUUGGAAAAGGCAGUUUGAGCUGGGUAUAGGACUGAUCUGGUUGGAGGUGGAAAGUGAGGUAGGCUGGUGUGAAGGGAUGUGAGCUAUGGUGAAUGGGUUGAUCUCCCUUUCCCGGGAAGUGUGUUGGAGACGUAAGGAUUGAAGUUCGGUAAGGAUCGUUUGAAGGGUGGCAUGAACUUGGUCAAAAUUGGAUUUCUUGAACUUCAUGAAAUUUAGCGUUGGAUUUAUUGCAUGUGGCCAUGGAUCGUUGGAUGCUUUGAUACCACUUGAUAAGUAAUUUUCAGUUCAGAAAGAAAAGUCAGAGAAAUAGAGAAGGAAUAUGAAUUGAUUAGAAGGGAAAAGACAAUUUUCAUUCUCCAAAAAAAAAAAAUCUCCCAGUACAAGUUCAAUAAGGUCUCUUAAAUAGACCUGUAUGCAUACCAAGAAAUUGAAAACUACAAAGGAGGAAAAAUCGCUUGAAAAUAGGAGCAUGAACAAUUAAAAUGGAAACGUGCACAACUGCCACUACAUACAUGUACCCACCACUAUAUUUUAUUCUGACUAAGACAAUAACCAUAAAAAGAAACUUGAGCCCCAUGAAUCUUGAGCACAUAUCAGCAUGCUUGACUUUUCAAUAAUUCUCCACCUCGGCGAAAAUUUAGUAAAUCUGAGCCGACUAUCAACAAACCAUCCUCCAAUCUCUGUUUUCUCUAACUGCUUUCAAACGUGUAGGAUAUUGAUCAAGUUUAGACAAUACUCAAACUUGAUCGUAAUCACCACCUUAGUCAACAUAUCUGUGGGAUUCUUUGCAGUCUUGAUUUUCUGAAGCAGAAUCUUUCCCUCAUCAAUAAUUUCCUUCACAAAGUGAAAUCGUACGUCGACGUGCUUCGUACGCACAUGAUAAAUUUGGUUCUUUGUUAAAUGAAUAGCACUUUGACUGUCGCAAUAUACAUUAAUAUGCUCUUAUACUAAUCCCAAGUUUUCAAGCAAGCCUUGUAACCAAAUAGCCUAUUUAACAACCUCUAUAAUUGCCAUGUAUUUGUCCUCUGUGGUCGAUAGUGCAAUUGUAGACUGUAGUGUAGACUUCCAACUGAUUGGCCCUUCAGCAAAAGUAAAUACAUAUCUGGUGGUUGACCAUCGUUUGUCCAAAUCACCAGUAUAAUCAUAAUCAACGUACCCAAUCACACUUUGACCAAGUGUAUCAUUUCGCUCAAAUAGUAAACCAACAUCCACGGUCUUCUGAAUGUACUGUAGAAUCCAUUUUACAGCUUGUCAAUGUUCUUUACCAGGAUUAUGCAUAUAUCUGCUCACUAUACCAACUGCAUGUGAAAUGUGAGGCCUUGUACACACCAUUGCAUACAUCAAGCUACCCACUGCAUUUGAAUACGGAACUUAUAACAUGUAUUCUUGUUCCGCAUCUGUCGAAGGAGAUAAUUGUGCAGAAAGCUUGAAAUGAGAAGCCAAUAGGGUACUUACAUGUUUUGCCUGCUCAGUCAUGCCAAGCUGCUAUAGUACUUUCUUCAAAUCUUGCUUCUGAGAUAAGCUGAUUUUGCCACGAGCUCUAUCUCUGCAUAUUUUCAUGCCAAGAAUCUUCUUCGCUUCACCUAGAUCUUUUAUCUCAAAUUCUUGAUUGAGUUGAGUCUUUAACUUCUCAAUCUCAUUUUUACUCUUGGAUGCUAUUAGCAUAUCAUCGACAUACAAGAGCAAAUAUAUGAAGGAUUACUCUUAUAACUUGCGAAAAUAUACACAAUGAUUAAAUUUAUUUCUUGUGUACCUUUACCCUUUCAUAAAUCGAUCAAAUCGCUUAUACCACUGGCUUAGAGGUUGUUUCAAUCCAUAAAGUGACUUUGUCAAUUUGCAAACCCAAUUUUCUUUUCCAGCAACCUUGAAUCCAUUUGGUUUAGUCAUGUAGAUUUCCUCUACCAAUUCACCAUGUAAACAAAUAAUUUUUACAUCAAGUUAAACUAGUUCAAUAUCAAAUUGCGCAACCAUAGCUAGUAAAAUUUGAAUAAACGAGUGUUUCACAACUGGAGAAAAUACCUCAUUGUAGUAUAUUCCUUCCUUCUGAGUGUAACCCUUCGCUACCAAUCUAGCCUUGUAUCGAAUUUCAUUUUUAUGAGAAAAUCCUUCCUUUUUUGUAUAUAUCCAUUUGCACCAAAUUGCCUUAUUUUCCUUGGGUAGUGUAACUAACUCCCAAGUUUUAUUUUUAUAAAGAGAAUGCAUUUUUUCAUCCUUUACUCUCUUUCACUGUAUACUUUAUGGGUUACUUACUGCUUCUCUGUAAGUGGAAGGAGCAUCAUCAUCUACAAUUGGAAGUGCAUAGGCCACCAUAUCAACAAAGCAACCAGGUUUGCGAAUCUCUCUGUGUGGCCUUCUAUAUGCAAUUGAAUCUUGUUGUUGUGAAGGUUCCUGGGUCAGAACCUCUUCUUCAUCAUCGAUCGAUGGAGAAUCAGUAUCCAUCUCAUCGACACCAGCUAGAUCGGCUUUGACCUUUUUAAACUCCACAUGUUGCAAAAUGCUACUAGUCUUGUCAUCCUCUUGAGAAUCUUUUUGUUUCAACAUGGCUGAUUCAUUAAAAGUUACAUCUCUGCUGAAAAUAAUUGUUUUCGUAACAGGACACCAGAGAUGAUAUCCUUUUACUCCACCAAUUAUACCCAUGAACAAUGCUUUCUUUACUCUUGGGUCUAACAUAGAUUCCUUUACAUAAUAAUAAGCAGUGGAACCAAAAACAUGUAGAGAAUCAUAAUCAGUAGCAGGUUUACAAGUCCACAUCUUCAUGGGUGUUUUGCCCUCAAUUGCAGUUGAUGGCAAACGGUUGAUCAAAUGGCAUGCAUAUACAACUGCUUCAGCCUAAAACUCUUUGCCCAAUCCAGCAUUGGACAACAUACACCGAACUUUCUCCAGUAUAGUCCGGUUCAUGCGUUCUACCACCCCAUUCUGCUGUGGUGUAUCUCAAACAUUGAAGUGUCGCACAAUGCCCUCAUCUUGGCAUAUUUGCAUAAAUUGAUCAUUCUUGUACUCACCACCAUUUUUUGAGCGAAGUCUUUUGACAUUUCGACCAGUCUGAUUCUCGACCAUCUUCUUCCAUUUAAAAAAUAUGCCCAAAACUUCAUUCUUAUUCUUCAUCAAAUACACCAACACUUUUCUUGAAUAAUCAUCAACAAAAGUAACAAAAUAGUGCAUACCUUCCAAAGAAGCUGUUUUGGUAAGUCCCCACACAUCAGUGUGAACAUAGUCCAGAAUCUUUUUUGUAUCGUGAAUUGCUGAACUAAACUUUACGUUUGUCUACUUGCCCAGAACACAAUGUUCACAAAAUUCUAAUUUGCAAGAAUUUGUACCUUUUAAUAAGCCUUGUUUCAUCAAAGUUUGCAAUACUUUUUCACCAGCAUGUCCCAAACGCAUAUGCCACAACUUAGUUGCUUCUGAAUCUGCAUCUUUUCUAGAAACUGUUGAUGCUGAUCCAAUAAUUAUACUUCUUUAGAAAUAAUACAAGUUAUUUAUUCUUGUGCCUUUCAUCACUGUCGGCGCCCCAGCUACAACUUUCAACAAUCCAUCUCUUAAAGUGAUUGUGAGCCCUUUAGAUUCUAGAACUGCUAACAAGAUGAGAUUUUUCUUCAAGUUUGGUACAUAGCGAACAUCCAUCAAGACUUGGAUUGAGCCAUCAUGAUUCUUUAAUUGGAUUAUACAUAUUCCCAUUGUUUUACAGGCAUUGUCAUUGCCCAUAAAAACAACUCCACCGUCUAGCUCCUUGAAGCUAGAAAACCAACCCUUAUUAGGACACAUAUCAUAAGUACAACUCGAAUCCAAAAUCCACUCAUCUGAGUGACAUGUCAAUGUCGUGCCAACCAGACUAAAUUCUGACUCCUCAUCAUGCUCUGCUACACAUGUAUCAGAAGUAGUGUUGCCCUUUUGUAACUUAGGACAAUUCUUUUUCCAAUGCCCUUUCUCGCGACAUUCAUCUUUGGCAGACCUCCCUUUAGACUUGCUUCUUUUUCCAAGUUUGUGGCUUUGUGAACGACCUCUCGCUGUUAAUGCUUCUGCAACUGUAUCUAUGUGAUCUUUUCUGUCUUUCUUUCUAGUCUUAGAAUUGUAUAAUACACUGCAUACAUCAUCGAAUAUGACAUUGUCCUUCCCAUGAAGCAAAGUAGUGGUGAGAUUAUCAUAUUCAUCAGGAAGGGAAUUCAACAACAACAGUGCUUUAUCUUCAUCUUCAAAUUUCUCAUCCAAAUUUAGUCAAUCUGCUAAUAUUUUGUUGAAUGAGUUCACAUGGUCAUUCAUUGAUAUGUCAUGUGUAUAUGUGAAACAAUAGAGUUUCUUCUUCAUAUAAAGCCUAUUUUCAAGGCUUUUCUUUAUAUAUUUUUCUUCCAGUGUCUUCCACAAUUUCUUUGUUGAUGUCUCUCUCAUGACAGAGUAUUUCUGAUCUUUAACUAGACAUAGGUGAAUAGUACCACAUGUUUGUCUAUUGAUCUUUAUCCACUCAUUGUCAUCCAUCAUGUCAAGCUUUUCUUCAAGAGCAACGUCUAACUCUUGCUGACAUAAGACAUCUAACACCUCACAUUGUCACAUACCAAAAUUAUUGGUACCAUCGAAUUUCUCCACUUCAAACUUUGCAUUAGUCACUGCAGUCCUCGUAAAUGAAGACGACAACAAUGCCUCUGCCAUCCUUUUUAACCCAAAUGAUCAAUAUCUUCAACAACUAUUUACACUUGAAAAACAGCCUCUAUGAUGUUUAUUUCGCAUGAAUAAAUGCACCAGGAAAGUUCCUAAGAGAAUGGAGGGGUCACAACGGUCCCACUUAAAACCCAGACUCCUUUGGCUCCUAUCGUCUUGUUAACAGAACUUUCCUAGACAUGUAAAAAUACAUACUACUUAUAAUAGACUGUCUCCCAAGUAUAAAUGGCCGUCUCCACCGUAUCAAUCAACAGUACCGUAUAUGUGAACAAUAUCAUAUUUGUGAAUAGUUUGUAUAUGUGAACAAUGCGUAUAAGUGAACAGUGUCGUAUGCCCCAAACACGAACCUUCGGCUCUGAUACUAAUUGUUGCGGAAGCGCAAGGUUGAGCAAUUACCAAUAUUACAGUGACUAUAACUUCUGGAGAAAUACAAAUGUGGUGUAAACAAAUGCAAAGAAAUAAAACACAAUAAAUUUUACGUGGUUCGACGUAAAGCCUACGUCCACGGGCAAAGUCUGGAAGAUAAUUGUACUAAUAUUGAGACUUUACAAAAGUGGAAAAACUCUCAAAUACCUAAUACCCAAUACACCCAAAUUCCCUUAACACCUAAGGAAUUUCUCCACCAAAACUCACUUGUAAAUCUCACAAACUUUGGAUGCUUUACAAAUGCAUUCUACUCCUCUAUUUAUAGGCAAAGCUUACAAUAUGAAUGCAUGAAAAAAAAAAAAUUGGCCAUUUUCAAUUUUAAUGGCUUUGGUGUGACUUUUGGUGAAGAGAUCAUGCUAGCACAUGCAAUUGGAUCAUGCUAGCUCAACAUUGGUUUGGUGUGCUUGAAAUUUGCAUGCUAGCUAGCUUAUGCAAGCAUGCUUGACUUUUCAACAGUAAUAAAAUUUAUCAUAAGCAUUUGCACUACUUUUCAAACUUACAGUAACCACAAUCACACAAUUUACCAAACACCUAAAUUUUUUUUAGUUAGCAACUUAUUUCAUUCUUACAACAAAAAUAAUUUAUUUAAUCAGCCACUGAAAUCCCAAACUAGCCAAAAGAUCCUCUCGUAAUCUCAUUUUUCUUAAUCUCUAAGGAUCCGUUGACACAUGGCAAAUAAGAUAUUUUAGGGCCAAGAUUUCUUCAUUUAUAUUUUACCUUAUAAAUCACUAAAAGUCUAAAACACACAAUUUUGUGUGACUCUACACUCACGAUUUGCAAACGCUACCUCUUUAUUUACUGUUCAAAUUUACUGUCAGAACUCAAAAUUAAUAUUAACAAUUCUGUUAAGUAUUUAAUCCACCAUCCCUUUAUUAUAACUAAUAUAUCCACCAUGUCAACACCGUAAGUUAUUUUGAUUAUUAUAAAUCUACCAUAGAUUUUCCAAAAUUUGAUUUUAAAAUCAUUGUUCAAGUUUUUAAAAUCAAAUUGCUAAUCAAAUAAUUAAAAGAAUAAUAACCUAUCUGAAUUUAGUUCCCCUAAAGUCUUCUCUUACGGCAAAAUACUUUUUCCUUUUGAGUUAAUGUAAUACCCCAAUUGUUCGACUGACAAAUUAUAGAAUUUUGAGGAUGAAAAUCAUUUAAGGGGGAGAGGGUUAUGAUACCCGGGAAUCAAGUGAGUAAUUAUUAAUAUUAUUUUGAUUGUAUUAUUAUGGUUAUUGGCUAUUUUUUUAAUUGGUCAUUAAUUUUAUUAUGUUAUUAUUUUUGUUCUUAUUAUUAUUACAAUCAAUAAUACCAGUGUGGACUUACUUUUUUUUUUUUAAAGAAAAGCUUAGCUUUCAUUGGAUUAACACUGGAAAAGAUACAUAAGAUGAGGUGGACAAACAUUUGUCCAUAUUUCUGAAUCUACAUUGCUUAAUGCCAUUUUAGCAAUUGAAUGGGUCAUGUCAUUGCCAAGCCUUGAAAUGUGCUGCAAAGUGGCAUUGUUUAGCCUUUUCAAACCUUCUUUAAUGUCUGAAAUGGCCCAGAAUAUCUCAGUUUUGCUGUGUUUUCUCCCUGUAGCCAAGUCUAUAGAUUCUUGAGAGUCAGAUUCAAUUAUCACUGGCCUGCAUCUAGUUGCUUCUGCAGCUGCAAUUCCCAGUUGAAUUGCAGUUGCUUCUGCAUCAAGAACAUCCCCAAAAAAAUUCUCCCUUUUUUGGGCUGCAGCUAUAAACUUUCCUUUAGAAUUUCUAAUUACUUAUCCCAAACCAGCCACCCGAUUAUGUAUCUAUGUUGCUGCAUCUACAUUAACUUUGAAACACCCUACUGGAGGGGGUUUCCAAGUCUGUUUUGUUGGACAAUUUUGCUCUGAAAAAGAUGGCACGUGGGCUUACUUAGUAUCAGUAUUGUAUUAAUGUUUGGACUUACUUGAUUUUAGACUUGGGAUUAUUAUUACUAGGGCUGCGCAUUAUCCAGUUCGGUUCGGUUUAGGCCAAGACCCAAACAAAUUGAAACUGACUGGUUCUUUAAAUUUGGAACCGAAUAUGAACCAAAUUUAAAUUUCGGUUCGGUUCGGUUCGGUUCGGUUUGGGUUGAUUUGGUUUUAAUUAGCUUAGAUCUGGAUCAUGAAGCCCUUUUGUUGGUGACUACUGCUCAUUGAUUUUAGAUCGAAGGUUGUAUUGAAUUCUAAUAAUUAGACAUCUAAGUGAAUAAAACCAGAAGAAAAUAAGAAAAUCUUGAUUCAUUCAACCAUCUAUUUAUAAAAUACCCAACAAAUUAGACUCAAAUCUAUGAAGUCCAACUCCAUGAACUUCCAUUUGCUUCCAAAUCUUUCCAUCAAAAUCAAUUUAAUUUAAGAAAUAAUCAAUAAAUAAAUAAAUAAAAACUCAUUACAUGUUGCACAACUCCACCGGCGAUAUAGCAUCGUUAGGCUACCGACAACAGAAGCGUGACAAACAGAAGGCAAGGCUAAUAUGAGGGCGACGGGACGAACUGCGACGGGCUAGCUACGGCGACGACGACAAGUUGACACAACCACAAUGGCGACGAAGACAAGCUGACUAAUAAGUGAUGGUGAGUGAGAGAGAUGGUGACGGGUGUGUGUGUGUGUGUGUGUGUGUGUGUGUGUGUGUGUGUGUGUGUGUGUGUGUGUGUGUGUGUGUGUGUGUGUGUGUGUGUGUGUGUGUGUGUGUGUGUGUGUGUGUGUGUGUGUGUGUGUGUGUGUGUGUGUGUGUGUGUGUGUGUGUGUGUGUGUGUGUGUGUGUGUGUGUGUGUGUGUGUGUGUGUGUGUGUGUGUGUGUGUGUGUGUGUGUGUGUGUGUGUGUGUGUGUGUGUGUGUGUGUGUGUGUGUGUGUGUGUGUGUGUGUGUGUGUGUGUGUGUGUGUGUGUGUGUGUGUGUGUGUGUGUGUGUGUGUGUGUGUGUGUGUGUGUGUGUGUGUGUGUGUGUGUGUGUGUGUGUGUGUGUGUGUGUGUGUGUGUGUGUGUGUGUGUGUGUGUGUGUGUGUGUGUGUGAAAGAUGAAGUGAAAGUGCAGAGGUGUGUGUGUGUCGGCUGGUGUGAGAAAGAUGGUGUGUUGUGUUGGAGUGUGUGAGAGAUUUUAGGCUUUAGAUUUAUAUUUUACUUAUUUAUGUUUUUUAUUUUAAAAUUUAUUUAGUAUUAAGUGAAAGAACCUAUCGGUUUGUCGGUUUGGUUCGGUUUUGAGCCGAGCCGAAUACAAAUCAACCGGUUCAUAAAUUUUUAAAUCAUUUGAUUUUUAUGCUUAAAACCGAACUGAAAUUUUUCGGUUUGAUUCAGUUCGAGAAAAACCGAACCGUUUGCCCACCCCUAAUUAUUACUCUUACUGCUCGUUUUCUUCGGGGGGCGACAAGAAAAUAUCAACUUUGUAUUAGUAUUAAUUAGAUAUUAGUGCGUGGAGACCACGUGCAUAUGGCCAGAAGAGAGAUGAAAUUAGAUGGAUUUGGCGUAAAGCAAGAGUACUAGCUACUCUACUUUGUGCGUGUCUCAUGUGGGGGCGAGCUGAAAGAGUUACAAUUUUAUAAGAAUCUAUAGAAAAAUGUGAAGUUUUGUAACACAUUUCCUUUAGAGUUGAAAUCUUUUAUAGAGAUCUACGCUUCAAACGUUGAGAGAUAUAAAUAGAAUAAUAAUAUAGUUACAAAUUUUUUUAUAAAUUUAUUUUGUACAAACUGAUAUAUUAUGAUAUAAUUGGUUGAAUUAAAUAUCUCUUGGACCACAUGAUUUAUUUUAUUAUUUUGUAUUUUCAUUCAACUAAUAAAUUAAUGCCAAAUCAGUUUGUAUGAGAUAAAUUUGUAUAAGAGUUUGUAAUUAUAUAAUCACUCAUAUAAAUAUACAUGGGAUAUAAUAUUGUUGUUAUUUUGUAUAUUGAUGAAGGAUUUCUAUUAAAUAUGUUUUCAAUAUAAAUAUUACACUAAUAAUAGAGUUACAAAUAGUUAAUGUGUACAAGUUGAUAUGACAAGAAGAGUUUCAUUGAAAAUUUUGAUAAAAACUAGUUUUUGAUUAUGUGGGCUCGUGAUAGUUUUAUACAAUCAAUCUCUUUAUACCACAUCAGUUUGUAGACACUUAUUUAUACAAAGUUUUGUGGCUCUAUCAUUACUCUAACAAAAUUGAUCAUAUAAACUAAACUAAAGACAACCUUUAACUUUCGAACUGAUUUUUAAGGUAAAUAUCCAUCUAGUCCUUAUAUUUUGAGUUAAAUGCUCGUUUAAUCCUUGCAUUUAAAGAAAUAUCUCAAGAUACCUCUAUUGUUAAAAUGUUACACUCAUAUUAAUAAAAAAAAUGGCAAUUCAUCAAAUUAACCUUAAAAGUAUGUAACAUAAAAAUCUUUACAAAAUUUUAUAUUAUUAUUUUAUUUUUAGGAUUAAUUUGAUAAAUUAAUUUUUGUAAAAUGAUUAUUAGUAAGAUUGUUGUAAGAUAUUAAUUAAUAUUGCUUUAAAUUAGUUGUAUUAGUUAUUUAUAAAUAAUUAUUAGUAAGAUUGUCGUACAAGUACAAAAAAUAUUAGUAAUUCCACACUAAUAUUUAUUAGUUAAUUUGUUAGUAAAUAAUUAUUUAUUAAUUUGAAAAUUAACUUUUUUUAUAGAUAAAUUUAUUAAUGUCAGGAUUGUUGUUGCAUUUAAGGAACAAAGAAAAAAGUAAGAAUGUAAAGUAUUUAACUAUAGGGCCGUUUUGAUGCAUUUUUGUAAAUAUAAGGAUUAAAUAGACACUUAAGUUAAAAUAUAAGGAUUAAAUAGACACUUAAGUCAAAAUAUAAAGACUAAACAAGUAUUUAUCUUAAUUUUUAAAUGUGAUUGAAGUCUGUAAAUUUUUAUACGAUACCAGAACCAAAACAUAUCACAUCCAGUGGCGGAUCUAGAAAAAUAAUUUAUGGGGGCUAAAUUCGAUAAUAGCAAAAUUUAAAAUCUAAAAUUUUGAAUAUAUAAAAUGUUUGUUACUAAAUUUAUAAUUGUGCUCAACGCAUAUUCAUAUUUUGAAAAUAUUAUGCAAUAAACUUAUUAUCAAUAUUAUUAAAUAUAUUAUUUCUUACAUAAACAAUUGAACUAUCAUUCGUCCCAUAUGAUUCCAAAGAUGAUUCUUCACAAACUUCGUUCUUGAAAUGUUUGCUCUACUAUUAUUAUGGAAACUAAAAGAAUUAAUCCUAUAUUUUAGAAUAGAAAAAUGUUUUGGGUGAUGGGCUAUCAUUAUUUUUAGUUAAAGUGUAAACUUUAAUAAUUCUAGUAAAGUUUAAAUUUUAUAGGUUUAUAAAUUUAUAAGGAUCGUUUUAAUAAAUUUAAUGGGAAACUAAUUAGAAACCUUUUUUUUUUUGUUCUUAAAUUUUCUUUUUUUUAAUCCAGGGGGGCUACAACCCCCACUGGUCACAUACUGCAUCCACCACUGACAACAACGAAAUCUCUUACUUUAAUAAAGUAAUGGAUAAGGUUAAAGAUAAAAUAACAUAGAUUCUAAUAUAGCGCAAGACAAAAUUCACUGCAUUAAAGUAUAUAUUUUUGUCUUUUUUUUUUUUUGAUAAGAUAUAUUUUUGUCUUUAAUUUGUCCUUACUCUAAUAAAGUAAAAGAUUCCUUCAUUGUAAAAUUUUUUCUAUACGUAGAUGAGUUGAAUUUGUUGGUUUUGAUUAUAUAGGGAAUUUAGCGUUCAAAUAAUUGGGCUUUGUAUAAGGGCAUUGUUGCUGGGAUUUUGUUGUAAAUGGCUACAAGAGAUCUUUGAGAACAGUUUUAAAGUGUCCAAUUUCGAAAUCUAUGCCAUGGGAGCCUCCAUUAGUUGGAUGUUUUAAACUUAAUAUCGAUGCUACUGUGAAUAUUCAGCAUGGGAUUGUUGGUUAUGCAGCUGUGGCAUGAAAUCACGAAGGAUUAGUUAUGGUGACAGCAGUGGAUAUUGGUGUGUACUCUAAUUAUGUUGAUGCUAUGGCAGAAGUCUUAUACUUUGGUUUACUGCUCAGUAGAAAGAUUGGUUUGUCGCUGCUGAUUAUUGAGUUAGAUUCAUUGUGAGUCAUUCAAUUUGUGUUGGGCCAGUAAAGUACUCGUAUUUAGUUAUUAUACCUUAUUACUGAUUUGCAACAUCUUGAUUUACCAAAGCAUGUUUAAGGUUUUUAAUUUUUUAUAUAUAUUACAUGCUAUUUUCAUGUUUAUGCCUGUCAAGGGCUCAAGGCUACUAGAAAGUGACCAAUCUUGUGUUUCAUUUUUAAUAUUGGUUUUUUUUCCAUAAAAAUAAUAAAUUAUUUAUAGUAUUUGUUGUUAAUUUAAAUAUUAAUGUUGUUUAAUAUAAAUUAUAAAAUAGUAACAGGCAACGUUUAAUAUAAAUUAUGAAAUAGUAACAGGCAACGUAGUAUUUUUAGUAACGCGACGACUGGCCAGAAUUUUUUCCUGCCUAUCGAAAAACGAUUAAAAACAAGAUAAAUUGGGUUUGAUCUUACUUGGAGAUGACAGAAAAAAGGCUAAACUGGCCUAAUUCAAUAGAGCUUUAGCCUGACUUGUAGGCCCAAGGGCCGAGCUUGGGCUUCACAUGGUCAAGCUCGACCUCGGCUAUGCUCGGCCUAUGACUUUAUCAAAAAGCUUGGGCUCAGCAAUUAUAUAAUAAAAAAUUAAAAAAUUAAAAAGGAAAAUGACACAGAGACCCCCAAUGUUUGAAUAAGGGACGCAAAACUCUCUAAUGUUUCAAAAAAGACACUCAGACCCCCAUUUGUUAACAUGAAUUAUAAUUUUAAAGUACAAUUACCAUUAUACCCUUAUAGCAUAUUAAAAUUACGAAUAUAACUUCAUUACACCCAAUUUUUCCAUUUUAUUUUUGUCAAAUUUUCUCUUCAAACUAAAUAAAUUUAAUCCAUUGCUCAAGAAUAAAAAUAAAUUAAAUUGAUUACUAAUAUAAUAAAAAUAACAAUUCUCCAUAUGUCAAUCUAUUGGAUAUGUUAUUUAGUACAAUUAAGAUUUUGUAAUUAUUGUUGUAACCAAUUUUUUUUAUUUUGUAGAUUAUAUAAGUUUAAAUGGAGAAUUGUUAUUUUUAUUAUAUUAGUAAUCAAUUUAAUUUAUUUUUAUUCUUGAGCAAUGGAUUAAAUUUAUUUAGUUUGAAGAGAAAAUUUGACAAAAAUUAAAUGGAAAAUUGGAUAAUGAAGUUAUAUUCGUAAUUUUAUUAAUAAUAUAGGAAUAAAUUGGACAAUGAACAAUUAUUUUUUAAUAUGCUAUAAGGGCAUAAUGGUAAUUGCACUUUAAAAUUAUAAUUUCUGUUAACAAAUGGGGGUCUGAGUGUCUUUUUUGAAACAUUAGGGGACUUUGUGUCCCUUAUUCAAAUGUUGGGGGUCUCUGUGUCCUUUUCCCAAAUUAAAAAUAAAACUUCGUAGAAACCACCCUUAAAAUUCAAGCACCUGCUAAGUUGUAUUAUUUGUAACUUACAGCUCACUGAAAACUCUCAUAACCCUCUAAUUAUUUAACAACUAAUAAUUGAGCUAUAUAAAAAAAAAAACUAUUUUUGGGUUGAUAUAAAUUAUAGAUGACGUAACUUAACAAGAACCAAUUAAACUACAUGCUUUAAAAAAAAAUAAAUCAUAUAAAAACAUAAAGUUACAAAAUGUCCAAAAGGAAUAUGCAUAUCCCUAUAUUAUGGCUUCACUUAUUCGAUUUGACUAUAUUUUUCUGGAGGUAAUUAAAAUAUUCAUUAUAUAUGGUUGAAAAUAUAAUUUUUUUUAUUUUCUAAGGAGCUCUAUGGAAUCAAAUUCGGAUUUCUCUUCUUACUGAUAUUCAAGAUUUUGUCAACAAAGGUCACAACUAUGAGGAAUUCUCCACUAGGCCAAAAGUUCUAAAUUUACUGGCAUCAAUGCAUCGAGAUCUUACUAACAAGCUUCAUUUUAUUAGAAAGCUCUUUGAUUCAAGAAUUUAAUGAAUUUUACACUGUUUGAUUUGGAGUUUGCUACAUUAAGUUAUGAUUAAAUGAGUGUUGACUAUAUAAAUUUGCGGAUAAAAUAGACCUUGAAGUUAAAUUGUGUUUUGCUUUGUUCUCUCCCACCUCAUGACAGCUAAGAUAUUUAAUUCAAGUUUAAUUUGAAUUCAAAUUGACAGGGAUGAUGAUUUUGAGAAUGUAACUUUGAAGAGUACUCUUGUUAAAGCAUCUUCAUAUAACUCUGUAUCUCUUUGGUAGAUUCUUUAAAAUGGUGAGUUGAGAAGUCUUGUAUCUCUUGUAUGAUAUCAUUGGGUGGUGAAUAUUUGUAUUCCUUUGUAAUCCUCUUAAUUGGUGAGAUUUGGUGAGUUAAAAAACCAUGUAUCUCUUAUAGAAUAUCAAUAGGUGGUAAAUUAAUUUUCUACGUCCUAUUGUAAUCCUUUAGAAUUUGUGAGCUUUUUUUACUUGCCUUGUCUCUGUGUAUUUGUUUUGCAUAAUAAUAAGAGUUUAGUUUAUUAUGAGGCAGGUGUCACACUCCCAACAAACCUUACUCUUCUUAUUCAUCUCCUCCCACCUACCACCCAAUAGUCAGCAGCCACCAAACCAACAUGUCGGCACCUUCAUUUCUGAAAUCGUUCACCACAAUCAUUUCACAGCGACCCAUCUUGAACACGAAAAGUAAAUAAAACAUCACCACCAUUCAUCAAAGAAGGGGCUUCUUUUUCUUUUAUGUAUGUAUGUGUGUGUGUAUAUAUAUAUAUUUAAAAAAAUAAUUGUUGAACUAGUAAAAAUCUUGAGUCCAGCAUAGCUCAAUAAGCGUUAGACUUUUUAAAAGGAAUUGUGAUAUUUGACCUCCUCAAUACAUCUCACCAAUUACCACUAAUCAUUUUUAUGCUAAUACCUACUUUAUCCUUAUAUGAAAUGACUUAUAAGGAUAAAUAAUUUUUAAGUGGACCUGCAUGACAAUUUUUAUUAGGGUGGGGCUAUUUAAACCCACUAAAUUCCUUUCUACACCCAAAUUUAAGAAAUGAAUUUGUUGUUAAAAAUUAAAAAUUUGAAGAUCUCAAAAUUAUCCUUCACUUAUCUCUUUCUCUCUCUACUUUAGAAUUGCAUAUUCUCUCUUCUCUCAUAUUUUGUAAACUAAACACUCAAUUAUACUCUCUUUUAAAUUCAUAUUUUUAGCCUUUCUUAGUAGAUCAUGAUCCCUAUUCAUGUUUUCUAUAUAUAAGAUUUUUUUUAUAUUUAUGAACUUUUGUGUUUGGCAAAAAUUAAUUUCUUGAUAUUUAUUAACUUUCAUGACUAAUAAAAAUUUAUUGAUGUUCAAUUUUAAAUAGUAGAUUUUGUUUCUCUUAGUUUGUAAUAUCAAUAAUUUGCAACUAAGAGAAUAUAUAUGAAUGAGUUUAUGAGAAUUUAUGAAAUUGAGAUAAGAAGGAGAAGAAAGGUUAAUUAAGUAAUUUUAUUAAAAAUUAUUUUCAUAAUUUUAUUAAAAAUUAUUUAGAUAAUAAAAUUCUUAAUUAGAAUGAGAGUGUAAAGAGGAAAUUGGUGGGUUUAAAUAGCCUCAUCCUUUUUAUUAAUGUCUAAUUUGGCUAAUCCAAUUUCUUAAACCCCAAUUUCUUUUAAUUUUUUAAACUAUUAUCUCUUCUUAAAUAUUAUAUACUGUACUUUUGUAACUAUCAAAAAGAUUAAUUUGCAAUACUCGAACAAGAUAAUGGACAAGUAUCAAAUCUUUUCUAUGGUUAUGACAACAGUGGAUGAAACCUUUAAAAAGAAAGAGAAAGAUUAUAGUGAUUAUGAAUUUUUUUUCUUUUUAAAAUAGAUUUAAUAAGUUUUACAUAACGGGUGCUUGUAAAAAAGAUAAAAAAGUAUAAUAAGGGUAAAUUUGAAAUUAGAUGAGAUAUGUUGAGAAAUAAAGAUCAGUUUACUUUAAUGGGUUAAUUAAAAAAUGAGGGUUGAUGAGAUAUAAUGAGGCGUUAAAUAUCACCACUCUUCAAGAGCCUAGGCUUUGUGUUUUUGUUAGAACAACAAGUGUCCAUAAUUUUAGUUAGGCCCUGUCAGCCUUUGUUCUAUUUAGUAUUUUUGGAAAAAAAAAUGAAAAACUAUUACCUUUUAGUUUAAUAUUUUUUAAUGAUCACCUUAAACAAAAAAAGAAGAAGAAGAAAUGGUGUAUAAUGAGGCAUCUUCAUAAUUUUAAGAAAAGAGUGAUAUCAAAAUAAAUGGAAAUAGACACGUGAGAGGGAUGAUACAAUAUUAUAAUAUCAUAGUUGGAAAAGGACAACUACACUUUUAAAGUUUAAGAAAAUAAUUACGCAGAUUCCCAAGUUUUCAAGAAACGAUACCGAGAUUUCCUUUUGACCAUAAUAAUUUAUAGAUCUAUCAAUCCAAAAAAACUGACUCCAAUGUAUUAUAAUAAAUAGAAGUACGCCAUUAAAAUAUAUCAUAAUGUAUACAUUUUAAAAUAGCUUAAAUAUGUUUUCAUAAUCCGUAGUCCAUUAGAAAUAUUUUAUUAUAUUAAAUCAAAUAGAAACAUAAUAUUAAAUAAAUGAUUAAUUUUCUAGAUAGUCUAAAUUAUUUAUAUUUUGCGUUUAUUUAUUAAAAAAAUUUAAAGUCAAUUUUUUAAUUGCUAUGUUCAAAGGGUAUAAUAAUAAUAAUAAUAAUAAUAAUAAUAAUAAUAAUAAUAAUAAUAAUAAUAAUAAUAAAAGUUUCUUUAUAUUCCUGAAUCAACUUGAAGGUCCUCGUAACCAUCUCCCUAAAUCUCAAUAGAGUAGCUGUUUUUUCCCUUUAGGAUGAAUAAAUAAGAAUGGACACGUGAGAGCGAUGAUACAAUGUAAUAUGAGUAAUAAUAUACCUACAAACUUUUGUAUAAAUUUUUUUUUGUACAAACUGAUGUGUCAUGAUUUAAUUAGUUGGAUUAGAUAUCUCUUGCUUCACAUGAUUUGUUUUUAUUAUUUUGUAUUUUUAUUCAACCAAUAAAUUAAUGUCAAAUUAGUUUGUACAAAAUAAAUUUGUAUUAGAAUUUGUGGCUGUAUCAUCGCUCAUAUAAUAUUAUGGCUAACAUAAUUCAUUAGAAAAAAAGCGAUGAUAAUCAAUAAAUAUACAAAAAAAGGACACGUGAGAGAGAUGAUUCAAUGUAAUAUUAUGGCUAACGUAAUUUAUUUGAAAUUGUUCAUUAUAUAUAUGUUAUUUAUAUAGCAUCAGACCUUAUAAGCCUGCUAUAUAUCUCAAAAUAUCAAUUGCAAAUCUUCAUGGAAAGAUCUGCUACAAAACAUAAUGUUAGUUUGACUUAACUCAUAUUUUCAUAGAUUUAUUUAGAAAAAAAGCCUACAACUCAGUUUAUCACUAAGGACCAUUAAAUAUUUAAAUACAAUAGUGAAUAAUAUUACUUUUAACAUCCAUCAAGCACACACCCCUUUAUUAUAAAUUGUUAUACCUUAAACCCUAUAAUUAAUAGAAGUUGUUCAUUAAUAGGGAUGAAAAUGGGUACCACCCGCAACAAUUUUGUUAUUAAUCAAAUAUGCACCUACAAAAAGUUUAAGUUGCUAAAUCCUCUAGCAACUUACUGUAGGUUUUUACUUUUUUUUUUUUAAAAAAAAAAAGCCUACCAUAUGGGGAUUUUUACAAUUACCAAACUCACUCGCAAUUCACAAUAAAUUUUACCUAUAAACUGCAGCGGCGGUAGUAGCAAUAAAUUUAUUUCAAAUCAGCAGGUUUUGCCUAACUCAUAGGCUCGUAGCGGUAAUAGCAACCUAUUUUUUUCAAAUCAUAACACCACGUCUAGGACCAUAAUCCCGCAUCCAAAAAAUUGUGUUUAUCUAAACAUUUUCAUAAAAAUAUAUUUUUUCUAUUGCAUACAAAUAUACAAUUAACUCUACACUAAAGGUUAUGCUUGAGCUUUUAACAUAAUAAUAAUAAUAAUAAUAAUAAUAAUAAUAAUAAUAAUAAUAAUAAUAAUAAUAAAAGUCUUAAUGUCCUUGAUGUGAAAGCUUGAAGGUCUUCUUAACCAUUUUUCAAAUCUUAAGGAAAUAGCUGUUUUUUCCCUCGAGAAUGAAUAAACAAAAACAGACACGUGAGAGUGAUAAUACAAUAUUAAUAUUAUCACUGACAUAAUUUAUUAGCAAAGCGUUGAUAAUGAGUAAAUAAAAAUGGGACAUGUGAGAGAGAUGACUCAAUAUAAUAUUAUGGCUAACGUAAUUUAUUCGAAAAGAGUUGACAAUAAAUAAAUAACUGACGCGUGAGAGGGGUGAUGAAAUAUAAUACUAUGGCUAACAUAAUUUAUUAGAAAUUGUUCACCAUAUAUACGUUAUUAUGAGCCAGCUAUAUAUCUCAACUUAUCAAUCGCAAAUCUUCAUAAAAGAUAUUCUACGAAACAUAAUGCUUGUUUGACUUAAACACUCAUAUUUUGAUAAAUUUUUUAAUUAGGAAAAGAGUCCAUAACUCAAUUCAUCAGUAAGGACCAUUAAAUACAACUGUGAAUAGUACUACUUUUAACAUCAACAUCAAACUAGCACACACCCCUUUAAAAUAAAUUAUUAUACCUUAACCCCCAUAAUUUAUUAGAAGUUGUUCAUUAAUUAGGAUGUCAAUGGGUUACCGCUACAGCUGAUUUAUUAUUACUAAAUCCGUACUUUAAAAAAUUUAAUACAAAAUCCUCCCACAACAUGCUGCGGAAUCUUUUUUUUUUUUAAAAAAAAUUUCCCACUGCAAGUUUUAACAAUUAUUAAACCAUAGCGGAUUUUGCUUGUAAUGGCAACGGUGGUAGUAGCAACAAAUUUAUUUCAAAUUAGUGUGUUUUGCAUGUAACUUAUAGGCUCGCAGCAAUGGCAGCAGCAGCAUAUUUAUUUCACAUCAUAAUACUACAUCCAAGAUCAUAAUACCACAUCCAAAAAAUUAGAAUUAUAUAAACAUUUCUAUAAAAAUAUAUAUUUACUAUUGCAUGCAAAUGUACAAUUAACUCUACACUAAAAGUUAUGCUUGAGCGUUUGAUUAGAUUAGUAGCCAUGUUUACUUAGAUUUUUAGCCAAAACUAACAAAUUUAAAAUAGACCAAUUUCAACUAAUAUGGUAGUCUUCUCAUUCAGUGGUGGAUCUAGAAAAGUAAUUUACCGGGGAUAAAUUAAAUAAUAGCAAAAUGUGAAAACUGAAACUUGAAUAUAUAAAAUUUUUGGUAAUACAUUUACAAUUGUUCUCUACAAGGUUUGAUAAUUUGAAAGUGUGUGCAAUAGACUCAUUAUCAAUACUAUUAAAUACAUCUUUUUCUACAUAAACGAUCAAAUUAUCAUUCAUACAUUCAUCUCUCAUUCGAUUCCGAAGUUCAUUCUUCACAAAUUUUAUUGUUGGAAAUGUUCUCUCUACUGUGGCUAUAGAAACUAGAAGAACUAAUGCUAAUUUCACCAACAAAUAUACUAACGAAUACAUCUUAUCUUUUUUGUCUCAAACAUUCUUUUAGCAAGGUCACUGAUUCCUUUCAAUCCUGCAAACUCAGUACUAUAACGCAUAUCCAUUAUGUAAGUUUGAAGUUAAGUUUUAAGUUGCAUAAGCUCUGUUGGUGAAAAAUCCUUUGGAUAAAAUUGAGCAAGACGUACUAAGUUGUCCUUAUCAAAAGUAGAAAAUGAGUCAUUUGACUUAAACAUGCCAAACAAAGAAGCAAUUUCAUAUUCACCCCCAUUGAAAUGAUUAUUUAGCUCUUAAGGUUCCAAAUCUAAAACAACAAAAAAUAGUUCAACUCGAAAAUAAUACAUGUUUGAGAUCUCCCGAACCUUGUGUCAUGAUCAACCUUGGUAAAAACACAUCAUUCAUGUUAGGGACAUCAAUUUCAUGCUUCAAACAAAAAAAGAAACCUCACAAAGCACAGAAUCUCAUCCAUCAUCUCUCAUCAUUUGCAAGUUUUUCUUGCAUAUUUCAACCAAUUUUAUGGCAUUUAGAAUAUCGUCAUCCUUUCUUUGAAGUGGUUGUGAUAACUUAUUUGAAAGUGUAAGUAUAUCUCUCAUCAAAUAUAAACUAAGCAAAAAAAUCAAAAGAUUACAUAAGCUCUACCAAAUAAUUUGCUUGAAAUCUCUGUUCACUAGAGUUUUACUUAUCUUUUGCAACUAUCUCAGCUCAGGCACACUAAUUAUAUGUGGAAACAAACAGAUUAUAUGAAGUAAUGUACCAUAAUGUGAGCCCCAACAUGUAUCACCAAAAUGUUUCAAUGCUGUCUCUGGAUUUUGGCCUUGCCCACUCGAUAAGUCAUCAUUUUCAAGUACUUCAACAAUUGAAAGUAAUUGCUUCUCUCAAAGAAUAUCUCGACGUUUACAUGAAGCCCCAACAACAUUGAUAACAUUAGCAAUUACAUUGAAGAAAGAAUUAAUUUGAUCGUGUUUCUUUGCCACAGCCACAAUAGCUAAUUGUAAUUAAUGGACAAAACAAUGUAUAUAAUAAGCACACUCAUUCUUAUUCAUAAUAAGUGUGCUAAGACCAUUGAACUCGCCUUGUAUGUUGCUAGCCCCAUCAUAACCUUGCUUGCGCAACCUAGAUAUACUCAAUCCAUACUUGGAAAAUAACUGAUCAAGAGCUUCCUUGAGCGAGAUAGCAGUAGUACAAGUAACGUGCUUAAAACCUAUAAAACGCUCAAAGACAUAUCCAUUCUUGUCUGCAUAUCGCAAUGCAACAACCAUCUACUCCUUCGUAGAUGCAUCACGGGAUUCAUCAAUCAAAAUAGAAAAUAAUGCCUCACUCACAUCUCUAAUAAUAACAUUGGUAGUUUCAAUAGAACAAACCCUCACAAGGUCUUUUUGAAUUGAAGGUGCAAUCAACAUGUUGUUUCUAGGAGCGUUCUUCAAAGUAACUCUUUUGAUAUCAUCAUUGUGAUCGGCAAGAAAUCUUAAAGUUAGAAUAUAAUUUCCUUGGUUACUUGAAUUAUCAUAUUCAUUAUGACCACAAAAUGUAAGCCCUUAUUCUAAAAGAAGCCUAACAACAUCAAUGGAUGCAAACUGGCGAGUUCGAUAAUCUUUCCAAUCUUAAUCAGAAUGUUUGUUGAAAAAUGUUCGAACAUGCUGCUUUUGUUUCAUUAAAUCCUCACAAUAGCCCAUGGCCUUGUUGUGAGCACUAUUAGGACCUCCAAUAUGCUCUUGUAAUCUUUCUGGUUUCUUCCAAUUUGAGAACUCAUUUUUUGUAAAUGUCUCACCAUUUGCUUGCUCACCAAUUUCUAGUGUGAAAAGAUAACAAGAUAAACAAUAUCCAUCAUUCUUUGAUAUACUAUAUUCUAGCUAAUUUUUGUAUAUAUUGAACCGAGCAGGACUCAAUUGUCGUUGUUGUUGCCUAAAUUUAGACUUAUAAAAAAUUGUGGAAUUUAGGUUGGCAAGGACCCUUUAUGAAUAUGCUCAACGAACUUCAUGUCGAAUAUUUCAAUUGUAAAAAAAAAUUAAGGGUCGUUGUCUAGGAUCAUAAGGAAGUUCUGACAAUUCUAAGUCGAACUUAUUUCGUUUUUCUAGACCAUUUUCAACUUUCUCUGGAAAUGGCAGCAUCACAGGUUUUCUUUUAAAAUACUUUUCCAUAUCUAUUUCAAAAUUAUAUAUGUGAGUACUUAUAUAAAAAUAAAUUAAUUACAAUUAAAAAAAUUAAUUUACAAAUAGCUAUAAACAAAAUCACCGAAAAAAAACUAUAAGGACUAGAAUUAGUCACUUGAGCAAUUACAAUUUGUAUAGAGAUAUAUUGACAUUCUGACAAUUCUAAGUCAAACUUAUUUCGUUUUUCUAGACACUUUCAUCUUUCUCUAGAAAUGGCAGCAUCACAGGUUUUCUUUUAAAAUAUUUUUCCAUAUUUGUUUCAAAAUUAUAUAUGUCAGUACUUAUAUAAAAUAAAUUAAUUACAAUUAAAAAAAGAUUGAUUUACAAAUAGCUAUAACACAAAAUCACUGAAAAAAAAAUAAGGACUAGAAUUAGUCACUUGAACAAUUACAAUUUUUAUAGAGAUAUGUUGACAUGUGAAAAUGAAUAAAAUACUAAAUUAUUAACUUAAUUUGAAAAAAAUAAGAAGAGGACAUGUUUACCUGAUGCAAAAUUGAUGUAGAGGCAAACUCAUUUGCCAGUCCCACGUCCCAAUCACUCAACCCCACAACAAUUAAAUAAAUCACACCCUCAUUCUCCUUUUGCUUUCUUCACUGGGAUUUUGAGAAUAAAGAACGAACUACUUGGAACUUGCUCUUUUUGUUCAAGGUAAUCCCUAAUUACAAGUGUGGCACUCAUGAUUCAGUAAUUAAGAUUAUAAAUAUUUCGAGCAGUAGGCUUUUUUUAAAGUCAAAUUAUGACUUUACAAUUAUUAAAAUAAUAGUUUGAUUUUUAAAGAAUGGGACUAUCUAAUAACUUGACAUGGGCUAUUCAGAAAUUUAUUAAUUUUGCUUUUAAACAAAAAAGUGUAAUUUUUUUUCCAAUGGGGACUUGAGCCUAGGGAUGACAAAAUCCUGGGGCUCCACCCCAAAUGGG
rnacentral:lncRNA from 1 species